rnacentral:rRNA from 1 species
CCCUUAGACGUUCUGGGCCGCACGCGCGCUACACUGACCAGUGCAACAAGCAUCCGUCCUUGGCCGACAGGCUCGGGCAAUCUUUGAACGCUGGUCGUGAUGGGGAUAGACUUUUGCAAUUUUUGGUCUUCAACGAGGAAUUCCUAAUAAACGCAAGUCAUCAACUUGCAUUGAUUACGUCCCUGCCCUUUGUACACACCGCCCGUCGCACCUACCGAUUGAAUGGUCCGGUGAAGCCUCCGGAUUGGCGCGCACCUCGGUGCCGCCGAGAAGUUGGCUAAACCUUACCAUUUAGAGGAAGGUGAAGUCGUAACA